CGGGAUUGAUUUGGAGGUGCAGGGUUCGUCAUGGUCUGGGGCGGUGUGUCACAGCAUCAUCAGACUGAGUGUGUUGUCAUUGCAGGCAAUCUCAACGCUGUUCGUUACAGGGAAGACAUCUUCCUCCCUCAUGUGGUACUCUUCCUGCAGGCUCAUCCUAACAUGACCCUCCAGCAUGACAAUGCCACCAGCCAUAUUGCUCGUUCUGUGUGUGAUUUCCUGAAAGACAGGAAUGUCAAUCUUCUGCCAUGGCCAGCGAGCCCGGAUCUCAAUCCCAUUGAGCAGGUCUGGGACCUGUUGGAUCGGAGGGUGAGGGCUAGGGCCAUUCCCCAGAAAUGUCUGGGAACUUGCAGGUGCCUUAAUGGAGGAUUUGGGUAACAUUUCAAGGCAAGAAUGGGCAAAUCUGGUGCAGUCCACGAGGAGGAGAUGCACUGCAGUACUUAAUGCAGCAGGUGGCCACACCAGAUACUGACUGUUACUUUUGAUUUUGACCUCCCCUUUGUUCAGGGACACAUUAUUCAAUUUCUGUUAGUCACAUGUCUGUGGAACUUGAUCAGUUUAUGUCUCAGUUGUUGAAUCUUGUGUAAAUAUUUGUACGAAGCAUAACAUGUCAAAUUUGCUGAAAAUAAAACGCAGUUGACAGUGAGAGGACGUUACUUUUUUGCUGAGUUGAUAUUACAGCUACAACCCUCCUUGGAAACACUGGAGGCAUCCGGAUUCAUGGGGUUUGGAAAGGUACUUCACUACAAUAACAGCACACUUUGUACAGCCACAUCUAUUUAGCUGUUUUCUACCAUGUAGCGUAUUAUUGUGACCUAACAAUAUGUUUCACCAUACAGGAUCCCUUCACAUGCCUGACACAGAACAUCAACCUCUCCCACUCUUUAGGGUGUGGGUCCCCACAGUAGCAGAGAAGAUGACAGCGGGUGUGGGUCCCCACAGUAGCAGAGAAGGGGAAAGCGGGUGUGGGUCCCCACAGUAGCAGAGAAGGGGAAAGCGGGUGUGGGUCCCCACAGUAGCAGAGAAGGGGACAGCGGGUGUGGGUCCCCACAGUAGCAGAGAAGGGGACAGCGGGUGUGGGUCCCCACAGUAGCAGAGAAGGGGACAGCGGGUGUGGGUCCCCACAGUAGCAGAGAAGGGGACAGCGGGUGUGGGUCCCCACAGUAGCAGAGAAGGGGACAGCGGGUGUGGGUCCCCACAGUAGCAGAGAAGGGGACAGCGGGUGUGGGUCCCCACAGUAGCAGAGAAGGGGACAGCGGGUGUGGGUCCCCACAGUAGCAGAGAAGGUGACAGCGGGUGUGGGUCCCCACAGUAGCAGAGAAGGUGACAGCGGGUGUGGGUCCCCACAGUAGCAGAGAAGGUGACAGCGGGUGUGGGUCCCCACAGUAGCAGAGAAGGGGACAGCGGGUGUGGGUCCCCACAGUAGCAGAGAAGGUGACAGCGGGUGUGGGUCCCCACAGUAGCAGAGAAGGUGACAGCGGGUGUGGGUCCCCACAGUAGCAGAGAAGGUGACAGCGGGUGUGGGUCCCCACAGUAGCAGAGAAGGUGACAGCGGGUGUGGGUCCCCACAGUAGCAGAGAAGGUGACAGCGGGUGUGGGUCCCCACAGUAGCAGAGAAGGGGACAGCGGGUGUGGGUCCCCACAGUAGCAGAGAAGGUGACAGCGGGUGUGGGUCCCCACAGUAGCAGAGAAGGGGACAGCGGGUGUGGGUCCCCACAGUAGCAGAGAAGGGGACAGCGGGUGUGGGUCCCCACAGUAGCAGAGAAGGUGACAGCGGGUGUGGGUCCCCACAGUAGCAGAGAAGGGGACAGCGGGUGUGGGUCCCCACAGUAGCAGAGAAGGUGACAGCGGGUGUGGGUCCCCACAGUAGCAGAGAAGGGGACAGCGGGUGUGGGUCCCCACAGUAGCAGAGAAGGGGACAGCGGGUGUGGGUCCCCACAGUAGCAGAGAAGGGGACAGCGGGUGUGGGAAAAUACAGUAACGUUAAAUGGGGUCAACCCUGUAACAUGUUAGUCACCUGACAAAUCUGGCAUUUCUCAACGGCUUCUCCAUUGUUUGUUUUUCCUCUGUCACUACCUCCCAGGGUUUGUAGUGUGGUUUAGCCUAAACGUGUGGAUCGGUUUCUUUUACGGUCCUAUAACUAGGUGUAGGUGAGGGCA